rfam:Gossypium hirsutum cultivar TM-1 unplaced genomic scaffold scaffold1231.1, whole genome shotgun sequence
UGUUAAAAUUUUUAUUCAUUUCUACUAUUAAAAACUUGCAUAACUAACAAAAUAACCAGACAAUUACAUAGUGUGUCACGUGUACCAUAUGCUGACAUAUAAUGACCAAUUUUUAACUGUAAAAAUAGAUAAAAUUGUUAACA